UACGUAGGGGGCAAGCGUUGUCCGGAUUUACUGGGCGUAAAGAGCGUGUAGGCGGCCAGGUAGGUCCGUUGUGAAAACUCGAGGCUCAACCUCGAGACGUCGAUGGAAACCAUCUGGCUAGAGUCCGGAAGAGGAGAGUGGAAUUCCGACGUGGUAGCAGUGAAAUGCGUAGAGAUGUGGAGGAACACCGAUGGCGAAGGCAGCCCCCUGGGCUAACACUGACGCUCAUGCACGAAAGCGUGGGGAGCAAACAGG
rnacentral:rRNA from 1 species